rnacentral:rRNA from 1 species
GAUGAACGCUGGCGGCGUGCCUAAUACAUGCAAGUCGAGCGAACGGACGAGAAGCUUGCUUUUCUGAUGUUAGCGGCGGACGGGUGAGUAACACGUGGAUAACCUACCUAUAAGACUGGGAUAACUUCGGGAAACCGGAGCUAAUACCGGAUAAUAUUUUGAACCGCAUGGUUCAAAAGUGAAAGACGGUCUUGCUGUCACUUAUAGAUGGAUCCGCGCUGCAUUAGCUAGUUGGUAAGGUAACGGCUUACCAAGGCAACGAUGCAUAGCCGACCUGAGAGGGUGAUCGGCCACACUGGAACUGAGACACGGUCCAGACUCCUACGGGAGGCAGCAGUAGGGAAUCUUCCGCAAUGGGCGAAAGCCUGACGGAGCAACGCCGCGUGAGUGAUGAAGGUCUUCGGAUCGUAAAACGCUGUUAUUAGGGAAGAACAUAUGUGUAAGUAACUGUGCACAUCUUGACGGUACCUAAUCAGAAAGCCACGGCUAACUACGUG